CCUACGGGAGGCAGCAGUGAGGAAUAUUGGUCAAUGGCCGAGAGGCUGAACCCGCCAAGUCGCGUGAGGGAAGAAUGUCCUAUGGAUUGUAAACCUCUUUUGUCAGGGAGCCAAGUCACCCACGUGUGGUUGUUGGAGAGUACCUGAAGAACAAGCAUCGGCUAACUCCGUGCCAGCAGCCGCGGUACUACGGAGGAUGCGAGCGUGAUCCGGAUUUAUUGGGUUUAAAGGGUGCGUAGGCGGGUUAUCAAGUUCGCGGUAAAAGCGUGGAGCUCAACUCCAUCCAGCCGGUGAAACUGAUGAUCUUGAGUGGGCGAGAAGUAUGCGGAAUGCGUGGUGGAGCGGUGAAAUGCAUAGAUAUCACGCAGAACUCCGAUUGCGAAGGCAGCAUACCGGCGCCCGACUGACGCUGAAGCACGAAAGCGUGGGUAUCGAACAGGAUUAGAUACCCUAGUAGUC
rnacentral:rRNA from 1 species